UGCGUAGGCGGCGCGGUAAGUCGGGUGUGAAAUCUCGGAGCUUAACUCCGAAACUGCAUUCGAUACUGCCGUGCUUGAGGACUGGAGAGGAGACUGGAAUUUACGGUGUAGCGGUGAAAUGCGUAGAUAUCGUAAGGAGGACCAGUGGCGAAGGCGGGUCUCUGGACAGUUCCUGACGCUGAGGCACGAGGGGCCAGGGAGGCAAACG
rnacentral:rRNA from 1 species